CCUACGGGAGGCAGCAGUGGGGAAUAUUGGACAAUGGGCGAAAGCCUGAUCCAGCAAUGCCGCGUGGAUGAAGAAGGUCUUCGGAUUGUAAAGUCCUUUCGGCGGGGACGAUAAUGACGGUACCCGCAGAAGAAGCCCCGGCUAACUUCGUGCCAGCAGCCGCGGUAAUACGAAGGGGGCUAGCGUUGCUCGGAAUGACUGGGCGUAAAGGGCGCGUAGGCGGUUUGGUUAGUUAGACGUGAAAUUCCCGGGCUCAACCUGGGGACUGCGUUUAAGACAGCCAGACUUGAGUGAGGAAGAGGGUCGUGGAAUUCCCAGUGUAGAGGUGAAAUUCGUAGAUAUUGGGAAGAACACCGGUGGCGAAGGCGGCGACCUGGUCCUUUACUGACGCUGAGGCGCGAAAGCGUGGGGAGCAAACAGGAUUAGAUACCCUGGUAGUCCACGCUGUAAACGAUGUGUGCUGGAUGUUGGGUAACCUAGUUACUCAGUGUCGUAGCUAACGCGAUAAGCACACCGCCUGGGGAGUACGGCCGCAAGGUUGAAACUCAGAGGAAUUGACGG
rnacentral:rRNA from 1 species